GAUGAACGCUGGCGGCGUGCCUAAUACAUGCAAGUCGAGCGAACGGACGAGAAGCUUGCUUCUCUGAUGUUAGCGGCGGACGGGUGAGUAACACGUGGAUAACCUACCUAUAAGACUGGGAUAACUUCGGGAAACCGGAGCUAAUACCGGAUGAUAUUUUGAACCGCAUGGUUCAAAAGUGAAAGACGGUCUUGCUGUCACUUAUAGAUGGAUCCGCGCUGCAUUAGCUAGUUGGUAAGGUAAUGGCUUACCAAGGCAACGAUGCAUAGCCGACCUGAGAGGGUGAUCGGCCACACUGGAACUGAGACACGGUCCAGACUCCUACGGGAGGCAGCAGUAGGGAAUCUUCCGCAAUGGGCGAAAGCCUGACGGAGCAACGCCGCGUGAGUGAUGAAGGUCUUCGGAUCGUAAAACUCUGUUAUUAGGGAAGAACAUAUGUGUAAGUAACUGUGCACAUCUUGACGGUACCUAAUCAGAAAGCCACAGCUAACUACGUG
rnacentral:rRNA from 1 species